rnacentral:tRNA from 1 species
GGGGCUGUGGCUCAGUGGUAGAGUGCUUGCCUAGCAUGCAUGAGGACCUGGCUUCAAUCCUCAGCACCACA